ensembl:snoRNA small nucleolar RNA, C/D box 124
UUGUCAUGGUGAAGGGAUGAUGUUCCAGUCGAGACUCAAGAAAAGGAUUCUGAGCCUUAGAGCUUUGAAGGAGCCCCUUGCUGGCCCGGCCCAAUGGCUGG